rnacentral:rRNA from 1 species
AACGAACGCUGGCGGCAGGCUUAACACAUGCAAGUCGAGCGCCCCGCAAGGGGAGCGGCAGACGGGUGAGUAACGCGUGGGAAUCUACCGUGCCCUGCGGAAUAGCUCCGGGAAACUGGAAUUAAUACCGCAUACGCCCUUCGGGGGAAAGAUUUAUCGGGGUAUGAUGAGCCCGCGUUGGAUUAGCUAGUUGGUGGGGUAAAGGCCUACCAAGGCGACGAUCCAUAGCUGGUCUGAGAGGAUGAUCAGCCACAUUGGGACUGAGACACGGCCCAAACUCCUACGGGAGGCAGCAGUGGGGAAUAUUGGACAAUGGGCGCAAGCCUGAUCCAGCCAUGCCGCGUGAGUGAUGAAGGCCCUAGGGUUGUAAAGCUCUUUCACCGGUGAGGAUAAUGACGGUAACCGGAGAAGAAGCCCCGGCUAACUUCGUGCCAGCCGCCGCCGUAACAC